rnacentral:tRNA from 2 species
GCGGGCGUAGCUCAGUUGGUAGAGCGUCAGCCUUCCAAGCUGAAUGUCGCCGGUUCGAGUCCGGUCGCCCGCU